GGGUUGAAUCUCGAAAAUGGCUAGAGAGCUGCUAAGAUGCCCCUCAAGCCCUGUCCCUCACGCAAACUCCACCCCUGACACUAACUCCGCCCUGAUACUUGCCAAGCCCCGCCCCUCAUGCAGACUCUGCCCGUCAUGCAAACUCCGCCCCGAUGCACGCCAAGCCCCGCCCCUUACAGUAUCUCCACCCCUCAUGCAAACUCCGCCCCUGACAUAAACUCCGCCCUUAUGCACGCCAAGCACCGCCCCUCACCUAAACUCCGCCCCUGACGCAAACCCCGCCCUCAUGCACGGCAAGCCUCGCCCCUCACGCAAACUCCGCCCCCGACGCACGCCAAGCCCCGCCCCUCACGUAGCGCACAGCGCAUGCUUGCUCGGUGCUGCCCCCUGGCGACCAAAUUUCGGUACUGCAGCGCUAGCGCCGCGCAUGCGCAGUGCAGCGCCACGGCCCCUCUCCCGAACCGGCUGCCGGUGUGCAGGGGUUGCUGUGAGCCGAGGGAGGAGCGGAGGCGUCGCCGGGCUGCGGCUGCACGGAGGGAGAAGGCCGCACUGAGGAUGUGGUUGCCCGUCCCUCCCUUGGGGAUGCCGUCGACUGCACCCGCCUCGCCUGUGCCUGGCCUGGCUCGCCUCGUGGCAUGGGGGCGAAAAGGGACAGGCGGCGGAGCGCUUACCGGCCGUGGACAGGAGCUGCCCUAAGGGAAGCUGGAAUGGCCAGAGAAAGGUGAAGAAGAAGAAGAGAUGGAAGGCUCUCCGGCCAGCAGCUGCCUCCCGCUGCAGGCAAGAGAGCACCUGCCUCGCCGGGCGGAGGACAGCCGAGCGACCGGAGUGACAGCAAAGGAAAGGCGGAGAGCGGGAGAAAGAAGCGUCUGUGCUGGCAAGCUCUCCCGGCAGCGCCGAGAGCCAGAGCUGUGCCCAGAAAAAUCAAAACUAAUUACAUACCCAGUCACAUCAUCAAUACGAUAGAUGGAGUCGCAGUAAAAGAGCGGGUAUCAUUGUUUCCAGCAAGAGCCGCUUUCUCUAUUCAGCACUUAGCACACCAUAAACUCAAGACAGGUCCAUUGCAUUUUAGUGGAAUUCCUGAUUUUACAGAAGAUGGAACCUUGGGGUUUUUUCUCCAGUUUUCCUGCUCAUAGCUCACGGGAAGAUAGAAGUUGGAUUCGGGUGCCACCGAGGUCUAUUCUAGCUCAGUCGCAUCGCAGCCGACCGGAGGCACGACGAUCCCGAGAUGUGCGGCGUAAGUUAUCCAGCCCUCGGCAUGGCCAUAAGCGGAGCUGAAUGUCAGAAGAGUCUCAUCUUGUGAAGCAUGGGCGCAGGCUCGAGCGACCGUAUUCCCUGGAAUUUCACGGUGAAGAGGAUGUGUAUCAACUGCGCUUGUAACGGUCUCCAGCCGGGGAUGCAGAGAGAGAGGAAGCGCACCAAAGAGCAGCACAGGAGGGGAGCAGAGCGCCGUAAGGAGGUGCAAAGCUGGAUAUUGACCCCUUAGGAUACAGACACGGGAGGUGACUUGGGCCAGGUGGGGUGCAAGGAUGGCACCC